UGUUCAUUUUGUACUGUUAGUACCUUUGUCAAAGAGGCCUAGAUCUUAACUCUUAUCAGGACCCAGGUAACGCCUCUCCAGGAAAACAAGUUUGAACUGGCGAUCAGCAUGCUCAAGUCUUAACGAAGGAUUCUACUGAACAUUUUCUUGAUGUGUUGAUGACCAAUGGGCUAAUGUCAUAGCAUAGCAUACGUAGCUCUCCUGAGCAGUGCGACAGGAAGCAGCGGCAUACAGGAAGGAACAAGCCCAGAGUGAUGGGAGACUGUUGUAAUCCGUGACCUCUUCUAAGAUACCCGGAACUUUCCUUUGUUGUCCAGACCUUGUACGAACACUCUGCAAGUCAGGCACUUCU
rnacentral:lncRNA from 1 species